CCACAUGGAUAAGGGCAGCGAACAGACACACACACAAAGACCAUCAUAUUGAACAAAGGCAAGGGACCCGGAUCUACGAUAUAUUAGGGACUCGCCAAUUCUUUUUCUUUCGUGACGACCGAUUGAUUGUGUGCGUGUGUGUAGCACGAUCCAACACCGCUUUGCUGCCAGGCGAGAAAGGGAGGAUACUGAAGGACGGUCCGGAGUACACGGACGACGAGGACGAAACCGUGCCUUCUGCUACGAUUUCCUUGCCGGCGGGGAGAUAGGAGGCGUAUUCUCAUUGUUCGAGCCGCUGGGGAAAUGCUGCGAGACGAGCUGGGUGUGGCCAAGAGCAGAUUCGGAUUAGCCAUUUCGCAUUGAAUUGCGAUUGGAGCUUUUGUACGCAGACACCACGGAAAGGAACUGAGACCAGGGACGAAGAAUUGCGAUCGGCUUGUCGACUGCGACUUAUCACGGCUUAUUGGGCGCGUCGUCUUUGCCCUCCGCGGUAGUUGGUUGUUGUUGCGGGGAAUUGCUCGAAUUCGAAGCGGUAGGGACAGCCUGAAAGGUGAUACCAGCGCAGAAAUCCGGCGCAUCGCAUUUCCAUCCAACGGAAUCCACUUUCUGUUGCCAGCGGCCCAAAAGAAGUUGCAUAUUUCUGUGUGAUUCAUUUGCCGUGACAUUGGGACGGCGUCACUCAAACUCGCGGCAAGCAUUACAACAACUGAACAAAUUACUUGCGUUGCUUAACCGGACAUGACAGCCACCAUCGCAGCACCAGCAGCCACGAUUAGUACACGAAGCACGCAUCAUAUCAUUGAUUUUGGCGAUAGUAGGCCAAACAGAUACAAGCAGGGGACGACACAUAGUCGCGUUCCGCUGACGACCAUCAAUCCGGCGAUGUCGCAGGCGCGGGGGCGACUGGCAAAUGGGAACGGAACAAAGAAGAGUAUGAAGGGAGGAGAUGGGUAUGCUGAAGGUGGUGCGAAUGGAUGGGGAGGGAAGCGGAAGGCUGUUGAGUACGACGAGGAUGUUGAAGGCUUUCAGUUCACUCGCGCAACUGUCCCAAAGAAAUCAAAGUCUGUUACAAUCGAGGAGAAUUCGGUUCCACCACUGCCAAGGGAUGAGGAUACUCAACAGCAACCUGUUCAGAAGCAGAAGGGGAGAGGGAGACCUCCCAAAUCCACGGAGGCACCGCGCAAUGUAACAUUUGAGACUCCCAAUGGAAAACUCCCCACUCGACCACUUCGACGAACGUCAAAACGUCUGGCUGAAGAGGAACCAACUGCAACAGUGACAGAGAAAUCAUUAAAGCCCAGGCGGAAAUCGAGUGAUAUCGCACCCGCACCAAUCAUGGUUCAGCGGAAGCGGGGUUCAAGUAAGGCCAAAGGCUCACAAACGGAGCCUCUAGGGGAGGAGACGGAAGGCCAGGUUACUACGCCAUUAGCAGAUGUGAAUACACAGAAAAUUGCACUCCCCUUUGCGGACACGCCCGUUAUUCAGAAGAACAAGGAGAUGCGGAUGGAGAAGAGCCAGAAGGGCCAGAGGCGGAGUAGUCUUGGGAGGAGGGGGAGGAGAGCGAGCUGGCUGAUUGAAUCCGGGGUGUCUAAUGCGCUACCACAUGACCAGGUUGACACGGCGCAUUUUUACAAACAUAUCGAAUGUGAGGGCUUGUCGGAGCCCAAGAGAAUGAGACAGCUCCUUACGUGGUGCGCGACCAGAGCAUUAGGGGAGAAGCCAUCUGGAUCUAGGUCGGGGGACGAAAGUGCUAGAUUAGCUGCUCGGGUAAUACAGGAGGAGCUACUUGAGGAUUUCGCGAAUCGGCCUGAGCUUUCGGACUGGUUUGGUCGGCAAGAAACCACACCGCCGGCCGUAGUAGUAAAGAAACCAAAUCCAAGGAAUAUACAAAACGCGGAGAAAAUUAAAGAAUUGGAGGAGCAGAUACAUAAACUACAACUAGAGCGACAAUCACUUACAUCUCUCUUACGGCCACCGUCAAUUCCAAAAAUAAAACCUCCGUCUUCAACAUCCGCACAAAAAUCCGAAAAUCAACAACCAUCCACAUGCACACCACAAACAGAAGUAAUAAACCCGGCCCUCCUCGACUCUUCUCAACUAGCGAUCCUGACGGCUCUGAAUCCAUUGAACUCUACCCGCGCACCUUCCGAUGAAUCUGCACCAACCGCGCAAACAGACUCAUCCUGUACUUCAAUAUCCAACAUAACAUCCCGCCUUUCCCACCUAACGACAUCCUUAAUCCCAACCCUUGACUCCUUCGCCUCGGGAAUCCACGACAUCGAGCUAUUCCGCCGCGCAGCGGAUGACGUGGCAGGGCAGGUUCUUGCGAUUUGUGCGCGUCUAUUGGAAGAGCGCGAUCAGUUACGGCAGAAACGAAUUGGUGGGGAGGAGCUAGGUAGCAGUGCCAACGGCCGCACGAUGAGAACGAGAAGGAGAAAGGGUAAACAGAAAGUUGGUGAAGCAGCGGAGGACGAUGAAGGAGCAGGCGACGGGGGAGAUGCAGAUGGGGAUGAGAAGGAUGAUUUGAGAAUAGAGAAGGAGGAUUUGGCCAUUGUGUUGGCGGCCUUGAGUAGGCUAGAGAGCAGAGGUUGAGCGUUGCUUUUCUUUUCUUUCUUUUCUUUUAUUUAAUUUUACUGAAGAAGUUGAUGAUAGCGCGCACCUGGAACCUGUAAAUAUUAUUAGCCAGGCUUAUCCGCCUAUUGUGUUCGAAGAUUGAUUUUACAUCAAUGUAAUUGAUGAAAUGAUUCUUGGUUCUUCUUAUUGUUAUUAUUAUUACCCUUUUGAAACAAAGGACAGUAUUAAAUCAUAGCUCCUUGACACAUAAAACGUGUAAUGUACAGUGCAAAAGGUUACAUUGAAAGGAAGAACAAGAGGAAAAG
rnacentral:sRNA from 2 species